rnacentral:rRNA from 1 species
UACGGAGGAUGCAAGCGUUAUCCGGAAUGAUUGGGCGUAAAGCGUCCGCAGGUGGCAAUGUAAGUCUGCUGUCAAAGCGUCUGGCUCAACCAGAUAAAGGCAGUGGAGACUACAUAGCUAGAGUAAGGUAGGGGUAGAGGGAAUUCCUGGUGUAGCGGUGAAAUGCGUAGAGAUCAGGAAGAACACCGGUGGCGAAAGCGCUCUGCUGGACCUUAACUGACACUGAGGGACGAAAGCUAGGGGAGCGAAUGGG